GAUGAACGCUAGCUACAGGCUUAACACAUGCAAGUCGAGGGGAAACGACAUCGAAAGCUUGCUUUUGAUGGGCGUCGACCGGCGCACGGGUGAGUAACGCGUAUCCAACCUGCCCAUCACUUGGGAAUAACCUUGCGAAAGUAAGACUAAUACCCAAUGACAUCCCACGAAGACAUCUGAAUGGGAUUAAAGAUUUAUCGGUGAUGGAUGGGGAUGCGUCUGAUUAGCUUGUUGGCGGGGUAACGGCCCACCAAGGCAACGAUCAGUAGGGGUUCUGAGAGGAAGGUCCCCCACAUUGGAACUGAGACACGGUCCAAACUCCUACGGGAGGCAGCAGUGAGGAAUAUUGGUCAAUGGGCGGGAGCCUGAACCAGCCAAGUAGCGUGCAGGAGGACGGCCCUAUGGGUGGUAAACUGCUUUUAUAAGGGAAUAAAGUGGGUCUCGUGAGACUUUUUGCAUGUACCUUAUGAAUAAGGACCGGCUAAUUCCGUG
rnacentral:rRNA from 1 species